rnacentral:rRNA from 1 species
CCUACGGGUGGCAGCAGUGAGGAAUAUUGGUCAAUGGCCGGAAGGCUGAACCAGCCAUGCCGCGUGAAGGUCAGUGCCCUAUGGGUUGUAAACCUCUUUUUUAAAGGGAUAAAGUGAGGCACGUGUGCCUUUUUGUAUUUACUUUAUGAAUAAGGAUCGGCUAACUCCGUGCCCGCAGCCGCGGUAAUACGGAGGAUCCGGGCGUUAUCCGGAUUUAUUGGGUUUAAAGGGAGCGUAGAUGGGUUGUUAAGUCAGUUGUGAAAGUUUGCGGCUCAACCGUAAAAUUGCAAUUGAUACUGGCAGCCUUGAGUACAGUUGAGGUAGGCGGAAUUCGUGGUGUAGCGGUGAAAUGCUUAGAUAUCACGAAGAACUCCGAUUGCGAAGGCAGCUUACUAAACUGCCACUGACAUUGAUGCUCGAAAGUGUGGGUAUCAAACAGGAUUAGAUACCCUAGUAGUC